GAUGAACGCUGGCGGCGUGCCUAAUACAUGCAAGUCGAGCGAACAGACGAGGAGCUUGCUCCUCUGACGUUAGCGGCGGACGGGUGAGUAACACGUGGAUAACCUACCUAUAAGACUGGGAUAACUUCGGGAAACCGGAGCUAAUACCGGAUAAUAUAUUGAACCGCAUGGUUCAAUAGUGAAAGACGGUUUUGCUGUCACUUAUAGAUGGAUCCGCGCCGCAUUAGCUAGUUGGUAAGGUAACGGCUUACCAAGGCAACGAUGCGUAGCCGACCUGAGAGGGUGAUCGGCCACACUGGAACUGAGACACGGUCCAGACUCCUACGGGAGGCAGCAGUAGGGAAUCUUCCGCAAUGGGCGAAAGCCGGACGGAGCAACGCCGGGUGAGUGAUGAAGGUCUUCGGAUCGUAAACCUCUGUUAUUAGGGAAGAACAAAUGUGUAAGUAACUAUGCACGUCUUGACGGUACCUAAUCAGAAAGCCACGGCUAACUACGUG
rnacentral:rRNA from 1 species